ACAUUCUUUUAGUACAAGAAGGUAGCAGCAUGUUCUCUAACUUCUGUGAGAGAUCUUCCAGCAAGAAAAGCAGCUCUGGUGGCCCAAGUUGCAGAACUUCUGUAGCCUAUGAAGUGAAAAAGAGUGUUGUUUUUUAAAUACGAAGAGCUGAAGAACUUCCUGAAAGAAGACAAAUUUCUGAGAUUCCAGUAUGUCACUCACUUCGGUGUGCAUUUCAGUAUCUAAGAUAACCUUGGUUACGAGUCCACAGCGGAGAAUGGAGAAGACCUCAAUAUCCAGCUCCCGGAAGAAAGCGCGAUAAUUCUGCAGGGACACUGAUGCCCUCGCUUCCUUCCCUGUGAACUCCUGGAAGGAAAGAUACAGUUUUGUUGUAGGGAGCCGAGUGACAGGCACUGCUGCCUAGAUGUCUCUCUCUCUCUCUCCUAUGGGCACUGCGCCUGCCUACAUUAACCAUAAUCCUCUUCUGCUUACGUCACUUAUCCGGAUGUGAUGGUAACCCUGUUGUAUUCAUCUGUUUAACCUCUUCCUGUCCCAGCUCCCGCCCUUAGCCUAUAAAAGGUGUGAUUAUUUUCUCAAUAAACCGGAGGCUUGAUUGGGUCACAUCAACUUGCCUUCGUCUCUUUUUGUCUCCCCCAUGUCUUUUAUUUAAUCCCCGUUUCCCCUCCAGGAGCUCUGAACUUGUUGAUCUGCAGGCCGGAUCAUUUUGUCAUUUGUUUAAAAGUUCCCCCACAAGCCUCCUGCAGUCAUGGAGUGGCUGAAUCUAAUGUUUGUGAUUGGAUGGUGGUCUAGUGCUGGGAGUGGUGGUGUGAGGGCUGCACUGGCCCAGGGGCGCAGGGCCAGCAUAUAACAGAGGGGAGGGGAGGAGGCUGCUUCCUCCUUUUAUCCUGUUUGCUCUUGUCCCUUGUGGCCACCAUGACCAACUGCCCCUCAACCACGCCAUCCUGCCUUGGAGCCAGAGGAGUAUGGAUUGAAACAUCCAAAAACUAUGAAGUCUCACUAAAUUGCACAAGCUGGGCUCAAACUCACAGUCCUUUUGUCCCAGCCUCUGGAGCUACUGGGAUUACAGCCCGUAGAGUGCUUUCCCAGGAAAUGGAAGUGCCCUGUGAAGACAGAGAAGCCAGAAUCUCAUGCUCCAGCUCAAUGGUACCUGGGAUCGAAUUCAUGACUGCCCGCUUGCAAGGCAGGUGCUUAUGCCGCUGAGCUAAAUCCCCAGCCCAAGUUCUGCACAAUUCAAUGGACAUGAAACUGUACUGCAAAGUCACCAUCUUAACAAGCCCCAAAUCUGAUGCCUCUUUAGAUGCUACAACUGGGACAUCAAAGAAAAAGGGUGGAACUAUAAGACUGUUAUCCGUUCAGAUCAUGAAGUUCCAAGCAGGAUCAGUGCAGCAAUGUUGGGACUUAUACUGUCUAGCACCUGGUUUAGGGGCAGAAACAGAAAAACAAAUUCCAAGAGGAUUAAGGUGCUCUUCUGUGGAAAGCCUUCAAAGACUGCACCUCUGGGCAACUCCUACUUUUUAACCAUUACACUACAAUGACUAUAAUCACAACUGUAAAACUCAUACAAGGUCUAUAAAGUCCAAGUUGGAAGGAAAUACGGAAAAGUUAGCACAAACUAUUUGCUCACUUCUCUUACAGGUUUAAAAUCUACUGUUAAAAGGACGCCUUCACAAUGUAACAUUUUAUUUUCAUUAACUGAUCCUGCUUCACUAAAGCCAGACUCUGCACGCAUACCUGUCUGCUGCCAUGAUGCCCGCCAUGGUAACUGCGCCAAUGAUCCCAAUGAGUUUGUAUUUGACUAUGGAGCUUGAGAGCUGCUUCCGGAUCACUAGGUGCAUAUCGUCCUGCAGUGAGAAUACAACGGGUGAAGAAUAAGCAUCUGGGAUGGCACAGCAAAAGAAUCUAUGGACACCAGAGCCAAAAGAAACCCCAGGAGAAAGGGCUCUUUCAAUUACAACUGUGACCUCCUAUACAGUACUUCGUUUCUCUGAGUCUCAAUUUUCCCAUCCACAAGAUGGGAAAGAUUGUUUGAAGGUUGAGAGAUUGUGAAAAAUCCCUAGAAUAGCACCUGGCUCACAGCAGCUAUUAUUUUUGUGGUGGUGUAAAGAUAUGAAAACUAUUUUGUGUAAAGAUAUGAAAACUAUUGUAACUCAAUGUGGAUGGCUGCUUAGCUACAAUAAUGAAACAGAAUACUCGGGAAUAAAUUUAGGAGGCAAAAGAUUUAUAUGUCAAACUCUAUAUAAACACUGUGAAAGAAGUUAAACACCUAAAAAUUAAGCAAAGCUAAAAAAUUAAUUAAUUAAUUAAGCAAAGCUAUUCCUGAACACAGGAUAGCUUUGCCUAAUUAAUUAAUUAAUUAAUUUUUUAGCUAAUUAAUCUAUUUGACUUGGGCAGAUAGAUAAACAGGUGAAUGUAAUAUAGCGCAGACAUAAACCUUACAUAUAUGGUCAACUGCUCUUCAACAAGGACAUGAAGACCACCAGUGGAAAAAUCACAGUGUCUCUACAAAUGGUACAAUGGAAACCGGACAUUCACAUCCAGAACAAUGAAGCUGAACCAUAAACUUACACCAGAAAGGCAACACCAAAACUUAACUCACAGUGGAUCACAGACCUAAAUGUAAGUCCCCAAAUUUUCAUUUUGUAGAAAACAGGGAGCAUAUUCAUGUCCUUAGACUUGGUAAUACGUUCUUAACUAUGACAUCAAAAGUACCAACCAUACAGGGAAAAAAAAAAAAAAGAUAAACUGGAUGCCAUCAAAAUUAAAUACUUUUGCACAUCAAAGCACACUAUCAAGGAAAAAAAAACCUGGAGCUGGGCAUGAUGCCUAUAAUCCCUAUAUCCCAGCAUUUCGGAGGCUGAGUUUAAGGCUAGCCAGGGUUACAUGGUGAGUUCAAGGCCCGGCUGAACUACAUAAGGAGAUGCUGUCCUAAAGAAAAAGGAAAAGAAAAAGAAGAAGAAAAAGAAGAAAAAGAAAAGAAGAAGGAAAAGAAAAGAAGAAGAAGGAGGAGGAGGAGGAGGAGGAGGAGGAAAAGAAGAAGAAAAGAAACAAAAGAAAACAAAAACUAAAACCCCUUAAAAAAGCAUAAACCAGGGUUGGCUCAAAGGCAUAAGCGUGGUCGUGAGUUUGAUCCCCAGGUACCAGAGGAAAAAAAAAAAGCAUAAACCAGAAAAAAAAAAAAAAAAAAAAAAAAGAUAGAAGCUGAGCAUAGAGAUGUAUGCCUAUAGUCCCAAAAUCUAGGAGCCUGAGGUCAGAGGAUCCUCAACUGCCUGGACUACACAGCAAAUUGAAGGGCAGCCUGGAAUACACAGUGAGACUCAUCCUGAGAAUUAAACCAUCCCUACCCCCAAAAACUAAACAGAAAAGACAAUGCAGUGAAUAGAAGAAAAUAUGUGAAAAUCACAAGGGAUUAGUACUUUGACAUAUAGUAUAAAAAUCUCCAAUACCACAACAAGAAAAGAAACUAAAGAAUAAAGAAUACCCGAGUGUGGCGGUUCAUGCCUGUAAUCCCAGCACUCGGAAGGCAGGAGGAUCGUUUUGAGUUCAAGACCAGCCUACACUACAAAGUGAGCUCAAGGCCAGCCUGAACUGCACAGCGGACCCUGUCUUAAAAAGACAAAAUAAAAUAAAAUAAAAUAAAGAAUAGAAAUGUCCUUCCUUCCGAGUGCUUGCUCUUGUUUUUGCGCUCACUCUCUCUCUCUCUCUCUCUCUGUCCCCUUUUUGUGCUAAGGACCAAACCUGGGCCUUGCACUUCUUUCUUUUUUAUUUUACUGUCUCAGGCAAAGCCUCACUAUGUAGACUAGGCUGAUCUUUAACUCACUGUGAUCCUAUUGCCUCACUCUCCACAGUUUUUAGGUAUGAUUACAGGUAUGUACCUCCGCACCCAGUCCCACACCCAAUUUCUUUUCUUUUCUCUCUCUUUUUUUUUAAGCCGGGGUCUCAUCAUGGAGUUUAGGCUACCCUUGAACUUACUACGUAGCUCAGGACAGCCUUGAAUUUGCAGUAAUCCACCCUGUUGCCUCAGCCUCCUGAGUGCUGGGAUUACAGGCAUGUGCCACUAAGUCCAGCCUAAGGUAGCUAUUAAUUGCAGUGAGUGCCUAGAGUGUGGAGAGACUGGAGCCCUGUGCCUGUGACUGAAAAUGUAAAAUGCGGGAGCUGCUAUGUAUAACUUUGGUGGUUCCUCAAAAUGUUAAUCAGAAUCACCUAGGAUCCAGCAACUCCAUUUCUAGAUACAUACCCAGAAGAUCUGAAAAUAGGCUCAAAUCAGUGCAUGUACACCAGUGUUCACAAUAGCACUGAAAUGGCCAGUGCUGAAUCCGGAAGCAACCCAGAUGUCCAUUGAAAGACAAACAAAUGGACAAAAUGCAGCCCAUAAGUAAGGAUUAGUCAGCUACUACAAGGUAUGAAGUUCAGAUAUAAGGGAUGAUUGAAAAAUACAUACAUUCAAUGUUAAGCUAAACAAAACUGACUUACAACAGUAAAAGACACAUUGCCAAGAGCAAUGGGCUAAGUGUGUUUCAAUUGGGGGGGAUAUUUUGGGGAGGAUUAAUGGCAAUGUGUUUUACUACAAUAACUAUUUUAGAAUUUAAAGAUUCAAUGUAUUUUUUGAUCAUACCUCCUACAUCACACAACACAGCUGAACUUUCUCCUGCUGGACUACACAGCAAGACCCUGUCUCAAAACAACACAGUAUGUUAUGUGAAAUAAGCUGACAGAAAAGGACAGAUAUUGCACCAUUCCGCUUACAUGAAGUAUCUAGACUAGGCAAAAUCACAGAUGAAAGUAGAGAUAGAUUACCAUGGCUGAUGGGAAGGGAAACUUGCAAUUAUUAAUGACUAAUAGGCACAAGCUUGCUUCAUCCCUUUCCCCUACCCUUCCCUUCCCUUCCUCCUGCCUCAGCCUCCUAGAAUGCUGGGAUCACAAGUAGAGGGUACGCACCUGGGUUGGGUGCAUUUUCUGUUUGGGAGAAUAAAAAUAAAAGUGGAUGGUGAUAAGUUUAUGUAUUGCAAAUGUCCUUACAACUGAUAAUAAAAAUGAUUAAACAGUUAUGUUAUAUAUGUUUUACUAGAAUUCAAAAAUGAAAUGAGUAACAUAUUAGUAGCCUCCAAAGUAUCCUGCUAACUACAACAUACAAGACAUCAAAUGAGAGGGAAAUAGCAGUAUAAAGGCAAAUACAAAUUUUUGUAAAUGCUCAAAACAUACAAAAGCUAUAAACUAGCAAUACUGAUGAACUCUAGGGAAAGAAACCAGAUGCCUAGAGAAAUGAGAAGGAUAAGAAAUCAUUUUUGACUGUGUACUCUUCUAUACAUUUUAAAUUUGUUCCAUUUAUGUGUGUUACCUAGCUUUAAAGAGGUUUUUUUUUUUUUUUUUUUUAAAGUAAAAUCAGUGCUGAUCGUUAAAAGCACAGUCCAGUUAGUAUGAAUUUACUGUUUGAGGCAACAUGAUAGGCACAAAAAGAGUUGUGAGUUGUGAUUCCAAUCUAAUCUCUCCUCCUCUUAUAAUUCUUUGCUUGGGUUUCUGUAAGCAGUGCUUACAAAUGAAAGCAAGCCCUGUGGAAUUCUAUUUCUCAACAGGACUCAGUACAGAAUUGGGACUGUUUUUCCAACUCAAUGCCAUAGUUAGCUGAUCACAACCUAACUAUCUACCAGACUAUGGUGUGGGCAGAAAACCUGACACCCUAGUAUCUCCAGCCACGGACACAGUCACACGAUAUUUGUGAUCUGGAAGGAAUCAAAAGGAAACUGCAGUGGUACAUCGGCGGUUCAUGAACUCCAUCCAUCAGGUCCACAAUUCUGGAAAAGACGGCCAUGUUUGUAUUGUGUGUGGGAAAGACACUGCUGUUGUGCUCAUCACCCAAUGCAGAGCUUGCAACCAAAACAAAAUUUUAUCAAAUGCUUCUGUUUGUGAACCAAAUCGCUCAAAAAUAAAAGCAUUCAUGAACUGA